rnacentral:rRNA from 1 species
GAAUUUCAGGUGUAGCGGUGAAAUGCGUAGAGAUCUGAAGGAAUACCGGUGGCGAAGGCGGCCACCUGGCUCGAUAUUGACGCUCAUGUGCGAAAGCGUGGGUAGCGAACAGGAUUAGAUACCCUGGUAGUCCACGCCGUAAACGAUGUCUACUAGCUGUCUGUGCGAUUAAGCGUGGGUAGCGCAGCUAACGCGAUAAGUAGACCGCCUGGGGAGUACGGCCGCAAGGUUAAAACUCAAAUGAAUUGACGGGGGCCCGCACAAGCGGUGGAGCAUGUGGUUUAAUUCGAUGCAACGCGAAGAACCUUACCAGGACUUGACAUCCAGAGAACUUACUAGAGAUAGUUUGGUGCCUUCGGGAACUCUGAGACAGGUGCUGCAUGGCUGUCGUCAGCUCGUGUUGUGAGAUGUUGGGUUAAGUCCCGCAACGAGCGCAACCCUUAUCCUUAGUUGCCAGCAUUAAGUUGGGCACUCUAAGGAGACUGCCGGUGACAAACCGGAGGAAGGUGGGGACGACGUCAAGUCAUCAUGGCCCUUACGUCCUGGGCUACACACGUGCUACAAUGGCAAGUACAAAGAGAAGCGAAGUCGCGAGGCGGAGCGGAUCUCAUAAAGCUUGUCGUAGUCCGGAUUGGAGUCUGCAACUCGACUCCAUGAAGUCGGAAUCGCUAGUAAUCGUAGAUCAGAAUGCUACGGUGAAUACGUUCCCGGGCCUUGUACACUCCGCCC